AGGCUUUUAACAGAAAUGAAUACUUUCAGACCAGUUUUGAAGGACUGAGUAGGAGUAAACUAAAAGAGAAAAAGCAGGACAAAAGAAGCACCACUUUGGAAGCUCAAAGCCACACUGGAAACACAGUCUUUCAGCAUGUCUGAAAGAGGCGAGUCUGUUUGUGUGGGGUUGGGGAGCUGUGCUUUGGAAAAGCAAUGAGGAGGUAACAGGAAGUCUCUUCCCCUCCUAAAUCCUGUGUUCAUGGAGGAGAGUGGGAGGCUGAGUUUUCUGCUCUUGAGAGGGAGUUACAUACAAGUUUAAGGGAAAAGAGCCUGAAUUUUCCACCUAAAUGAUUCUGAAAGAAUCAGGUUAAGAAGCAAAUCUGUUCCGAUGUGAUGCCAACUAAGUACAUGAUCUGAUUGUUCCAGUUAUCCUGUGCCAAAAAGAAGCAAAAAAUGGGCUUUCCACGAAUUACUGAACACGGUGUCAGUGUGCCUAAGAAACAAGCCACUAUUAAAAGCUUUCUAGGCAAUUUGAA